UGUCACUAUGCAAAGCUCUUGCUGGCAACAGCCCAUUAUCAACAGCGCCCUCUUGGAAUUUCUUAUGUGUGGAGAGACAGGUUGACAACCUCGACUGGCUUUUCCAAAGAGAUUGUCUUGCGUUGUUUGGGAUGCCACGAAAGUUCUGAUUGAGUCUCGCAAGGCCCUGGGCCAAUGGGGAUGUCUAGUCUCAGGGGAGGAACUCUUUAUGCAGUCGCUCUGGGGAGGUGCCCACACACUUACCUUUCCUUGCGUUAUACAACCGGAUAGCAUGCCAGCUCCAGGCUUGUGGCCGUUUCGUAACCAGCCCUUUCAUGUGUUAUGUGUGAAGUUUGAAAUAAAGCCGUCUUUGACCACCACGCUACAGAAACGAUGGUUUUGAUGCCAGGGUAAGGAAUGAACACGUUUUCCCGGAGAAACAUGCACUUAGACUUGGUGGUAAAGAGAUCACGGUCUCACUGGCCAGUUACUGUGUUCUCGGGAAUCCUGCUGAUUUGUCAAAACACGACUGAUGUUCAGAAAGCUGACGAGGCGCAUGUGUCUCACAUCUUCAUAUCAGAAAUCCCACUCCUUCUCCGUUCUGAAUUUACUGAGCCAGAGUCCACGUAAGAACAAACUGCGGUCCCCUCAGUGACACGGCACAAAACAGCCUUGUAGGUUGUGGGAUAUGCCGAACCACAAAAUCCUGAAAGGAGACUAUUAUCUCUAUUCUAUGGAUGAAUCAGCUUGCCCGGAUUCCCAAACCUUGGUGAUGGAGCCAGGAUUUGUGCCCAGAUCAGUCUGAUUUCCAGGACCCUGCUUCUCCACUGAUGGGGAAAAGUCUCUGAUCUGUGGAAAGGGGAGGUAUCUGUAGGAGAAUGGUAAAAAAUGAAGAUGAAGUUAAUCUGUUGUUAGAAUAUGUUAAGGACCUCGGAUGGUACUAUGUACCAUAAGACAAGUGAAGAUAUUAAAAAUUCUUACCCAGGGGAGUGAUUCUUUGAAAGUAUUCAUUUAGGAAAUUGAAUCUGAAUAGAUUGAAAAAAGAGAAAGAAGGAGAUCAUGUAACAAUUAUCGGAACAUUUCUGAGCUGAGAUAAAUGGAAAUGAACGAAGAAGGAACAGGAAUAAUGGUAGUUUAAAAAUGGGAGAAUUAUUGGAUUAUUGUAGGGCAAAGUCAGGAGGAAGAUGCAGCCUUAAUAUUGCUGUCCAUUGUCCCCUGGUGUGCCCAUGUCCUUUUUUGUUGUAUCUGUGGUGCCUGUUUCUGAUUAGAGUCCCUAUUCUCAACACACACAUUCACAUCACACACACACACACACACACACACACACACACGGUCGUCUCUUUGCUUUUGAUAAUCUGUAUUUUGUAGUUUUUUUUCUCCAAAACAAGUAUGAAUUAUUGUGAAAUAAAAAAGGAAAUUUAAGGGGUGCCUGGUGGCUCAACCAGUUAAGUGUCUGACUCUUGGUUUUGGCUCAGGUCAUACUUUCACGGCUUCGUGGGUUCAUGCCCCACAUCAGGCUCUGCUCUGGCAGUACAGAACCUGCUCGAGAUUCUCUCUCUUUCCUCUUCUGCCCCUCCCCAAUUCAUGCUCUCUCUCUCUCAAAAUAAAUAAACAAACUUAAAGUUUUUUUCAAUAACAAAAAAAGAAAAUUUAAAAGGGAGAAUUAGUUACUGGCCACUUUUCGCAAGUAGUAAAAAGUGAAGAGGCAUUUACAAGAUAUUAAGAAUAGGAAAUGAAAGAGAGUUAAAUUGUAUAUCUGAGAAAGAGAGAGAGUUCUGUCAGAUAAAAAAGGAAGGGUUCAGAGAACUUUUUGGAGAGUUAUAAAACUUUAAGGAAUCCUACUGAACAGGGUUCUGUUAUCUUGCCUAGGAAGUAACUGAAGUUAUGAUAGACAUUCAUGUAGGAAUUAGAACUGAUACAAGCACCUGCUUUCUCCCACAUCUCUGAAAUACUCUUAAGAUUGAGAGACAUAAUGCAUGUAAAACUGCUUUAGAUUCUUGUUGGAGAAAUAUUUAUUGAAGCGCCUUUGAAAAGAAAGGAACCUGGUCUAAAUGGAAUAAAAACAAGCUUGCGUUUUUUCCUCACAACUUUCCUACAUAUUCUGGCAUCAUUUUCAUUCCAUAUAGUUCUGAUUUCUGGACAUCUGGGAGGUUAGAAAGGCCAGCUAUACUCACUCGUCUGUUUGUACAUCGGACAUAAUCCUCACCAUUCUGCACCAUAAUCGUGUGUUUUUAUGCCUGUUUCCCUAGAAUACUGCAAAGAUUAGAGAAGAGAAUGUGUGUGUUUAUUUUUGUGUCUCUAACGCCUUGAAUAAGUAAGAUGCUCAAUCAAUGAGGUUAAUGAGCGAAUAGAUUUAUGUAACAUAAAUUAUGCUGAGAGAUUUCAUCACUUGAGAAUUAAUAAUGUUGAAUUACUCUUGGAAAGGCCACUCAUUUUGACUUCUUGUAUAACAACUGGUAAAAUGUGAAUGUUCUUGAAAGGAAUUAAAAAACAUUUAAAUAUCUAGAAGAUAAUUUCCACCGCUGGCUCAUUCUCAGGGAAAUUAGAACAUUUUAGGAUAAAGAGUAUCAAAGGUUCACAAUAUCCCUUUUCUUUCUUAUUUUAUAAAUCUCUUUUCCACCUACUCAUGGGCAUCAGGUGACUGUUUUGUUUUUAAAAUGUUAAAACAGGAAAGGGAAAUUUUAUGUUAAUAAUAAUCAUUAUAUUCACAGGAUAACUGGGAAUUCAUACUUCUUCAUGUUAGGUACUCUGAAAGAUAAAACAUAAUUCACAUGUGAUUAUAUUCAUAUAUAUACUAGAGGAUAAAGGUAUAGAUGUAUAUAAAACGAUAUCGUCUAUCCGUCUAUCUGGUAUCAUAUAUCUACAUA